rnacentral:misc_RNA from 1 species
AACGCACAUUGCGCCCCCUAGUAUUCUAGAGGGCAUGCCUGUCCGAGCGUCAUUUCAACCCUCAAGCGCUGUUCCGCUUGGAGUUGGGGCUCUUGCAGCGAGCACUUUUAGUGUUUUGCAAGCCCUGAAAUUCAGCGGCGGGCCCGCCGGCACACCGAGCGCAGUAAUAUUACUUCUCGCUUAGGGCGUGCGGCGCGGCGCAGCCGACCUCUAAACCUUUCCAAAGUUGACCUCGGAUCAGGUAGGACUACCCGCUGAACUUAA